AUAGGGAGGACUAGUAGGGGAACUUUCACACAAAUGCAAAUAACCGCUUGACAGCUGAACUUCCUAAGGUAAAGAGACUGACAGGCGACAUACUUCUAACUCAUAGCUCACAAUUAAUACUUGACUGAAUCUAAGAGAUCACAAGGAUGUCAGAAAACAAAAUCUACUCAAAUGUAACACCAUAGGACACACCAGAGGACUCUACCACAGCCAUGCAGACAGAUGAGGUGACAUACUCUGACAUCAACUUCAUCAAAACAGGAAAUAGCCACCAGAAGCAAACCAACAGUGAUGGAGACUGUGUAACUGCCAUCUACUCUCAGGUCAAUCUGCCUAAAAAGGUCCCAGGAAAUGAACUGGACCCACCACCUCCAUCUGAUUCCAGGAACAUCUCCACCCUGGCCAAACCUGACCCUGCCAACUCCUCACCACAGUAACAUUCAGAGAAAGAGCGCCGUCCUGGUAUCUCUCAGAGAUGCACAGUCCUCUUACUCUCUGUGUGUGUUCUCCUGUUGGCCGUUGCUGUUACUAUGGGAGUGCUCUAUGUUGUGAAAGUGGAGAAAUAUUCAGAAACCGAAAGGAUGUUAAUUGAGCAGAAAAGCAGAAAUGAUGAUCUCACCAAGGAGA